AGAGUUUGAUCCUGGCUCAGGAUGAACGCUAGCUACAGGCUUAACACAUGCAAGUCGAGGGGCAGCAUGAACUUAGCUUGCUAAGUUUGAUGGCGACCGGCGCACGGGUGAGUAACACGUAUCCAACCUUCCGUUUACUCAGGGAUAGCCUUUCGAAAGAAAGAUUAAGACCUGAUAGUAUGGUGAGAUUGCAUGAUAGCAUCAUUAAAGAUUUAUUGGUAAACGAUGGGGAUGCGUUCCAUUAGGUAGUAGGCGGGGUAACGGCCUACCUAGCCGACGAUGGAUAGGGGUUCUGAGAGGAAGGUCCCCCACAUUGGAACUGAGACACGGUCCAAACUCCUACGGGAGGCAGCAGUGAGGAAUAUUGGUCAAUGGGCGAGAGCCUGAACCAGCCAAGUAGCGUGAAGGAUGAAGGUCCUACGGAUUGUAAACUUCUUUUAUACGGGAAUAAAGUAUCCUACGUGUAGGAUUUUGUAUGUACCGUAUGAAUAAGCAUCGGCUAACUCCGUGCCAGCAGCCGCGGUAAUACGGAGGAUGCGAGCGUUAUCCGGAUUUAUUGGGUUUAAAGGGAGCGCAGACGGGAGAUUAAGUCAGUUGUGAAAGUUUGCGGCUCAACCGUAAAAUUGCAGUUGAUACUGGUUUCCUUGAGUGCAGUUGAGGCAGGCGGAAUUCGUGGUGUAGCGGUGAAAUGCUUAGAUAUCACGAAGAACCCCGAUUGCGAAGGCAGCUUGCUAAACUGUAACUGACGUUCAUGCUCGAAAGUGUGGGUAUCAAACAGGAUUAGAUACCCUGGUAGUCCACACGGUAAACGAUGGAUACUCGCUGUUGGCGAUAUACUGUCAGCGGCUUAGCGAAAGCGUUAAGUAUCCCACCUGGGGAGUACGCCGGCAACGGUGAAACUCAAAUGAAUUGACGGAAGGGCGAAU
rnacentral:rRNA from 1 species